rnacentral:rRNA from 1 species
GAGUUGUAAUUUGCAGAGGAUGCUUCGGGUUCGGCUCCGGUCUAAGUUCCUUGGAACAGGACGUCAUAGAGGGUGAGAAUCCCGUAUGUGACUGGCCACCACGCCCGUGUGAAGCUCCUUCGACGAGUCGAGUUGUUUGGGAAUGCAGCUCAAAAUGGGUGGUAAAUUUCAUCUAAAGCUAAAUAUUGGCCAGAGACCGAUAGCGCACAAGUAGAGUGAUCGAAAGAUGAAAAGCACUUUGGAAAGAGAGUCAAACAGUACGUGAAAUUGUUGAAAGGGAAGCGCUUGCAACCAGACUUGCCCGUGGGUGAUCAGCCGGUAUUCUUACCGGUGCACUCGCCCGUGGUCAGGCCAGCAUCGGUUUGGGCGGCUGGAUAAAGUCCACCGGAAUGUAGCUCCUCUCGGGGAGUGUUAUAGCCGGAGGUGCCAUGCAGCCCGCCCGGACCGAGGACCGCGCUUCGGCUAGGAUGCUGGCGUAAUGGUUGUAAGCGACCCGUCUUGAAACACGGACCAAGGAGUCUAACAUCUAUGCGAGUGUUUGGGUGUCAAACCCAUGCGCGUAAUGAAAGUGAACGGAGGUGGGAACCCUCAAGGGUGCACCAUCGACCGAUCCUGAUGUCUUCGGAUGGAUUUGAGUAAGAGCAUAGCUGUUGGGACCCGAAAGAUGGUGAACUAUGCCUGAAUAGGGGUGAAGCCAGAGGAAACUCUGGG